rnacentral:rRNA from 1 species
GACGAACGCUGGCGGCGUGCUUAACACAUGCAAGUCGAACGGUAAGGCCCUUCGGGGUCCACGAGUGGCGAACGGGUGAGUAACACGUGGGUAAUCUGCCCUGCACAUCGGGAUAAGCCUGGGAAACUGGGUCUAAUAUCGAAUAUGACCACAGGACACAUGUCCUUUGGUGGAAAGCUUUUGCGGUGUGGGAUGGGCCCGCGGACUAGCAUGUUGUUGGUGGGGUGAUGGGCUACCAAGGCGACGACGGGUAGCCGGCCUGGGAGGGUGUCCGGCCACACUGGGACUGAGAUACGGCCCAGACUACUACGGGAGGCAGCAGUGGGGAAUAGUGCACGAUGGGGGAAAGGCUGAUGCCGCGACGCCGCGUGGGGGAUGACGGCCUUCGGGUUGUAAACCUCUUGUACAAUCGAAGAAGGUCCGGGUUUUCUCGGGCUGACGGUAGGUGGAGAAGAAGCACCGGCCAACUACGUG